rnacentral:lncRNA from 1 species
GUUGUGAUUGGCUCAUAUUUUAAGCUGGCAACAAUGAAGUGACCCAUGUGUUUUCGGCAGUGGAUGAUUUGUGCAAUUGUGCAUGCUUUGCAUUUAGUGGAAAAAUAAUGUGGUGCACUUUCGGAUAAAUAGUGGAAGACAUGUUUGCUUGGGAUUCUUUCCACUUUGUCCUUGUUUUGGUUUCCCAUUGGAAUGCCACGUGAGUGGCUUUGAGUUUGGUCAAAAGGCAAAGCAGAAAGUAGGAGCAUCAUGAUGCAUCAUGAUUAUGUUUGUAAAGGAAGGAAAGUUUAUUUUUUUUCUUUGUUUAAAGGCAGAAGCAGGGCAUUAGAGAGAGUGAGAGCAUUCGGCUCUCUUCUAAGAAGGCAUCAGAGAGCAUCCAAAGGGGGAGAGCAUUCGGCUCUCCCAUGGGAAAGCAUGGGCAUGGGUGAGAGAAAAAUCAAGAGAGCUAGAGUGAAAAGUAUUCUAGUGAAAAAACUCUUGGGGUAGAGUGAGGCUCUUGGGAAAAUUCUAUGAGUGGGUGUGCAAGGGAUGCGGGAUUGGGUUAUGUCGAUUUAACUCAUGUGUACUUGUACUGUUAUUCUCAUAGUGAAGAGCAAUAUCUCUCCGGGGACGUAGGCAGAAUUUUUUGCCGAACCUCGUAAAUUUCUCGGUGUCUUUAUUUCUUGUAUUUUAUUCUGUUUAACUGAGUGUGAUUUUGGUGAGGUUGUAAUCUGAAUCUCGUUUCCGCACUAAUGAACGGACCAAGGCACAACAAUUGGUAUCAGAGCAUCGUUGGGGGCUUUGGUUCGUUGGAGGUCCAGAUUUGUUGUUCACCAUGGAAUUUUCAGUUGAACAGUUUAAUGGGAAAGGCAGUUUUGCUCUUGGUAAAGGAGAGUAAUGGAAGCCUGAAGAAAUGGAAGCCGUGUUCAGGGAUGCUUGGAUCAACUGCGAAAGUUGAUGUUGAGGAAGAAGACAAAGGCCUCUUUCUUCUUACCUCACUUUCAGAUUCGUACGAGAACCUUGUGAAACUUUAAUGCAUGGAAAGAUACAGUAAGUUUGGAGCAGGUGCAAGCUUCUUUGGUGUGAAAUGAUACACAAAGGAGACCAUGGAUGAUGGUGGGCACAAGACUGCUUAAGUUAUUCAAGGUUGGAAUCGUGGAAGAAAAUUGGAAAGAGGAUUUGAGAGAGACAGCAGGUUCAGAUCCGGUUCCGAAGGCAAGGGUCCACAGUGCUACGAAUGCAAGGCUGGGUUGUAGCAAUUUUGUGGCGGAAGACUUCGAGUAUGCCCUCUAGGUACUCGAAGCAACACUUCUCCUGGUGAUGUAUAGUCUAAAGUGUUGCAGGGGUUUUGCAGCAGGUGGAGCUAUAGGAUUCACAGGUGAUCAGAUGGUACUGAGGAAAGGAAGUGUGGGAAUUUUGUCUGGUUCGAUGGGUUGUUGCUGGAAACGGGCGCGCUGACGAGUUUCCAGGUUGCAGACAAUAAAGAGGAGGAAAACCUGUUGGAGGAGACGAGGGUGUGUCGAGAUCCUGUCUGAAGCUAAAUUGUGAUUUUUAGCUUGCAGCAGCUGCACAUGCAUUGGCAGUGACUGAAUCGGAAUAGGACCAAUGAGGUGGAUUCAGAGUGUGCAUGCUGGUACGUAAGGCCAAUGGACUUUGGUGAUGGGUGCAAGGAUUUUUGCACUGUAUAUUCGCCAAGGUGGAGAUUGUUGUGAUUGGCUCAUAUUUUAAGCUGGCAACAAUGAAGUGACCCAUGUGUUUUCGGCAGUGGAUGAUUUGUGCAAUUGUGCAUGCUUUGCAUUUAGUGGAAAAAUAAUGUGGUGCACUUUCGGAUAAAUAGUGGAAGACAUGUUUGCUUGGGAUUCUUUCCACUUUGUCCUUGUUUUGGUUUCCCAUUGGAAUGCCACGUGAGUGGCUUUGAGUUUGGUCAAAAGGCAAAGCAGAAAGUAGGAGCAUCAUGAUGCAUCAUGAUUAUGUUUGUAAAGGAAGGAAAGUUUAUUUUUUUUCUUUGUUUAAAGGCAGAAGCAGGGCAUUAGAGAGAGUGAGAGCAUUCGGCUCUCUUCUAAGAAGGCAUCAGAGAGCAUCCAAAGGGGGAGAGCAUUCGGCUCUCCCAUGGGAAAGCAUGGGCAUGGGUGAGAGAAAAAUCAAGAGAGCUAGAGUGAAAAGUAUUCUAGUGAAAAAACUCUUGGGGUAGAGUGAGGCUCUUGGGAAAAUUCUAUGAGUGGGUGUGCAAGGGAUGCGGGAUUGGGUUAUGUCGAUUUAACUCAUGUGUACUUGUACUGUUAUUCUCAUAGUGAAGAGCAAUAUCUCUCUGGGGACGUAGGCAGAAUUUUUUGCCGAACCUCGUAAAUUUCUCGGUGUCUUUAUUUCUUGUAUUUUAUUCUGUUUAACUGAGUGUGAUUUUGGUGAGGUUGUAAUCUGAAUCUCGUUUCCGCACUAAUGAACGGACCAAGGCACAACAACAUUUUCCUUUACAUGCAAGUAUCUCACCACAUUUU